rnacentral:rRNA from 1 species
CAAGCAAGACGACCCGCUGGACUUAAGCAUAUUAUUAAGCGGAGGAAAAGAAAUUAACAAAGAUUCCCUUAGUAAGGGCGACUGAACCGGGAAAAGCUCGAAGUUAAAAUCAAAUGUUCAACGAACCUUUGAAUUGUAAUCAGAACAGCCAAAAUACAUAGCUAAACUUAAUAGGUUCGAAAACCUGGCCAAAGAGGGUGCAAGCCCCGUGAAGUUUGUCUAUGAACAUGGGUGUUUCUCGAAGAGUCGGGUUGCUUGGAACUGCAGCCCUAAGUGGGAGAUAUGGUUCUUCCAAAGCUAAAUAUGGGUGGAAACCGAUAGCGAACAAGUACUGUGAAGGAAAGAUGAAAAGGACUUUGAAAAGAGAGUGAAAAGAAUCUGAAAUCGUUGAGAAGGAAGCGGUAAAACUUACUAAAGUUACUGAGAGCAUAACGGGCGACCUGGAGUGCUUCCCGAGACUUUGGGCAAAAUCAAGUCUUCUGCGCCAAAAAAAGGUGUAAAGCCGGAAAGGGUGUGGGAGGCUUGAGGGACUACGGUG